AGUGAACGCUGGCGGUAGGCCUAACACAUGCAAGUCGAACGGCAGCACAGUAAGAGCUUGCUCUUACGGGUGGCGAGUGGCGGACGGGUGAGGAAUACAUCGGAAUCUACUUUUUCGUGGGGGACAACGUAGGGAAACUUACGCUAAUACCGCAUACGACCUACGGGUGAAAGCAGGGGAUCUUCGGACCUUGCGCGACUGAAUGAGCCGAUGUCGGAUUAGCUAGUUGGCGGGGUAAAGGCCCACCAAGGCGACGAUCCGUAGCUGGUCUGAGAGGAUGAUCAGCCACACUGGAACUGAGACACGGUCCAGACUCCUACGGGAGGCAGCAGUAGGGAAUAUUGGACAAUGGGCGCAAGCCUGAUCCAGCCAUACCGCGUGAGUGAAGAAGGCCUUCGGGUUGUAAAGCCCUUUUGUUGGGAAAGAAAAGCAGCAGGUUAAUACCCCGCUGUUCUGACGGUACCCAAAGAAUAAGCACCGGCUAACUUCGUG
rnacentral:rRNA from 1 species